rnacentral:lncRNA from 1 species
UGUGUUAUUAGCUGCUCGUAUUGCCCAUCCAUGUUCCAUAUCAAUUGGCCAUUUUUGCUUCUUAUAAAGAUCUUUAGACAUGAGAUUUAUUUCAGAACCAUGGUCCAUCAAAGCAACUAUUGGUUCUUCUAUAUCUCCUACCUUCACCAAUACCUCAGUAGUUGCCCUUGCCCAAUGCUUUCGAGUAUAAUGGCUCAAAGUUUCCAUUCCCUUGUCACUAGAAUCUUCGAAACGUACUCGCUGAUUAUACCCAUUCUUUUCAUUUGUUGGUUGCUUGUAACCAAUAUCAACCUCUUCUUCAUCUCUACAUAUUCUUGCAUCAAUAGC